rnacentral:rRNA from 1 species
UACGGAGGGGGCAAGCGUUGUUCGGAAUUACUGGGCGUAAAGAGCGCGUAGGCGGUCGAUUAAGUCAGGUGUGAAAGCCCUUGGCUCAACCAAGGAAGUGCAUCUGAAACUGAUCGACUUGAGUACGGGAGAGGAGAGUGGAAUUCCUGGUGUAGAGGUGAAAUUCGUAGAUAUCAGGAGGAACACUGGUGGCGAAGGCGACUCUCUGGACCGAUACUGACGCUGAGACGCGAAAGCGUGGGGAGCAAACAGG